rnacentral:rRNA from 1 species
UACGUAGGGUGCGAGCGUUGUCCGGAAUUACUGGGCGUAAAGAGCUCGUAGGUGGUUUGUCGCGUUGUUCGUGAAAACCGGGGGCUUAACCCUCGGCGUGCGGGCGAUACGGGCAGACUUGAGUACUGCAGGGGAGACUGGAAUUCCUGGUGUAGCGGUGGAAUGCGCAGAUAUCAGGAGGAACACCGGUGGCGAAGGCGGUUCUCUGGGCAUUACCUGACGCUGAGGAGCGAAAGUGUGGGGAGCGAACGGG